UAACCAAGGCAUCAGCUACGAUGCGGUCGGACGGAUCCAUGCGUGAAACCUGGUGAUGCGUGGAUUGGUGGCGGACGGGUGAGUAACGCGUGGAUAACCUGCCGUAUACUGGGGGAUAACACUUAGAAAUAGGUGCUAAUACCGCAUAAGCGCACAGUCUCGCAUGAGACGGUGUGAAAAACUCCGGUGGUAUACGAUGGAUCCGCGUCUGAUUAGCUUGUUGGCGGGGUAACAGCCCACCAAGGCGACGAUCAGUAGCCGGCCUGAGAGGGUGAACGGCCACAUUGGGACUGAGACACGGCCCAAACUCCUACGGGAGGCAGCAGUGGGGAAUAUUGCACAAUGGGGGAAACCCUGAUGCAGCGACGCCGCGUGAGUGAAGAAGUACCCCGGUACGUAAAGCUCUAUCAGCAGGGAAGAAAAUGACGGUACCUGACCAAGAAGCCCCGGCUAACUACGUGCCAGCAGCCGCGGUAAUACGUAGGGGGCAAGCGUUAUCCGGAUUUACUGGGUGUAAAGGGAGCGUAGACGGCAGCGCAAGUCUGGAGUGAAAUCCCGGGGCUCAACCCCGGAACUGCUUUGGAAACUGCGCGGCUCGAGUGCAGGAGGGGCAGGCGGAAUUCCUAGUGUAGCGGUGAAAUGCGUAGAUAUUAGGAGGAACACCAGUGGCGAAGGCGGCCUGCUGGACUGUAACUGACGUUGAGGCUCGAAAGCGUGGGGAGCAAACAGGAUUAGAUACCCUGGUAGUCCACGCCGUAAACGAUGAUUACUAGGUGUCGGGGGACCAAGGUCCUCCGGUGCCGGCGCAAACGCAUUAAGUAAUCCACCUGGGGAGUACGUUCGCAAGAAUGAAACUCAAAGGAAUUGACGGGGACCCGCACAAGCGGUGGAGCAUGUGGGUUUAAUUCGAAGCAACGCGAAGAACCUUACCUGGUCUUGACAUCCCGGUGACGCAUGGGCAUGCCAUGUUUCCCUCGGGACACCGGAGAACAGGUGGUGCA
rnacentral:rRNA from 1 species